ACGAGACAAACGUAGGCGGUGCAAGUGAGCACCGAGUGUAGUAUGGCCCAGGAGGAGGCGGGCGAAUACUGGUGUGGCUUGUUCCUUCCCGUGACUGACUGACUGUUUGAAUCUUAUAACGGCGCUCAUCAAGUUGUGUUAUAAGACUAAUAAAGGUUCUUUCUAUUGCUUUUUUCCUGGAAUCCAAGAAUGAUGCCAUCAUCUGGAGAGGACCAAAGAAAAACGAUACCUGUUGGGUUGCGGGCAAACAUCAGGUUGAAGGGAGACACACUGCCAGCACAUGGGACAAUUGUGCGGAACUGGAAGAGAAAACGAUUCACCUCCUGGUCCCACACAGUUGGAUUCUCAGCACAGAAGUUAUCCAACAUUUCACCUGAAAAGUUAAACAAUUCCUCAUUAAAUUUCUGACAAAAGGCUAUCAUCAAAAGUCAUAGGAAGAUGUGCUUAUCAUCAAUAUCAAGAGGAACCCACCUGCCCAUGCACACUCCCGGGACUCUUCCUGCAAGUGCACCAAACUGACCUUCUUCCAAACUCUGAUGACCCGAUCUGUGGGCAGCGUGGUGACUUUCUGGGCAUCCUCAUCCACUGGGUCCUCCAUGCCAUCCUGUCCCAGGCCAUCACGAUGCCCAGACAUGGCGACCUCAGUGCAUUUCUCACAGCGGCGGCAGUAGUUUCCGAUGUCAACAUACAGAGUGCGCCAGUAAAAGUUGGAGGUGAU